rfam:Bacillus phage vB_BanS-Tsamsa, complete genome.
GUGGGUAUGGGGCAGUUGGUAGCCUACUGGCUUUGGAAGCUAGAUGUCGCAGGUUCGAGUCCUGCUACCCGCA